UCCUCGCAUAUCUCCAUUUCACAAGAGCGAGGGCUACAACAUUCAGACGUUUCAGAGCUGUAUUCCUCAUCAAGGCUUCUCAAAUCUUCAAAUUGCAGAAGAGGAAGGUCAUUUGACAUAAAACAAGCUGAAGCUGACGCAGUGCUGCAUGUGUGGUGCACUUUCGGACAUAAGCAAGAUGCUGACAAUACACGAUCGAUAAAGGGGGUGGCAUGUGCGCCCACUCUUUUGCCUAGAUUCUAUUCUGAGCACUAGAUGCACACACACGUAGCUGUUGAAACACUGGUAAGUAUAUUAGCGGGUAGGCAGAUGAGACGUAGGUAUUUCUUCACUUACUUUAGGAAAUACGUGUGUGUAUGUUCAACAUGUUUGUUUAGCAACUGUAUUACGCAUCAAAUGUUUACAGUGAGAGUUUCGAUACCCUCUCAUUUCUCGUUGUGUCUGUUGUCAGGACGACUGCCGAAAUAAAUUCCUUUUAUUAUAUUGAAUUGGUGACUUAACUGACCUUGCAGGAAGUAGAUUGCGUCAUAGGAGACAGAGGGCGAUAGUAGUGUCCAGAAUAUAUGAUGCAUUCAUUUCAAGAGUACCCCCGAAGCAGUAUUCCUAAUAAAUAAAAAGCAUCAAAAGACUUAUAUGAAUUUAUCUCCCAGGUACACUCAACUCAUGCUUCUUCUGACUGCUUCUUCUGAAUCCAGAAGUUUUUACUCGCUCUAUGUAACAUUUGGUCAUGCAUAAAAUCUUUUUUUAAACAGCACUAACGAGAUUUCUUUGCUGUACUUAAACCCAAAUCUGCCACAGGACUCAUAAGCAGACUAUCUUUGAUUAUGUUCUAUAAUGUUGUUGCUCCUGGUUUGACACCUUCAAAAUCAAAGUACGAAUCAUAUAUGAGAACAAUUUACAAUUAUGUAGAAAAGCCUCAUCAUUGCUGAACUGUUUUACAGGAAAUCACUAGGAAUAUUUUGGAGGGAACAAGCAAGGGGAUCAGGAGUAGCACAAGCCGGAAUUCGGUGGGGUGUACAGGGGAAAAUUGGGGGCACUUCAUUUCUAAAAGUAAGAAACCUUAAACCUGUUUAAUUUUAAGAUGUUCCAUGUCUUCAAAUGUUCAAGUGUGACGUGUGCAGCUAUGGCGUCACAGACUAGAGAGAGGUGACAUGUAUAGUCACUGCAAGAACAAGCAGACCAACGACAUUGGUAACACAAACAAGUCUUUCCUGGAGAAUUAGCUGCUCCAGUUUUGAUUGUGAUAUAAAGAAUCGAACUGGCGAGUGGUUUUGCUUCGACCGAGAAAGGUUGAAUGCCUUUUUACAUUAUGACAUACACUGAUGCACCAAGAAGACGACGGAGCACACCUUUUCGUCAGAGUACCUUGACUCACCUCUUUUCGAAAAAAACUUUACUUGAGCUAUAUCUUUCGAGGAAUUUUCAACGGAGUGGCUACAGAGACCUCACAGUUUGUUUUUUCAGCAUUUUGUAGUUGAUUCAUUGCUCUCUUUUUGACUCAUAGUUGCUUUGUAAGCUGGAUUUAGUCCAAAUAUAUAUAUAUAUAAAUCCAAAUAUGGAUGUCUAUUAUUCAUCUGUUUUCUUGUUUUAAAGCCUGCCCCCCCUCAGGUAUGGUUCUUGCAUCCAGUUUACCCACCCCAGCCGACAUCUCUAGCUAUGUGGUCGUGGUUGAGCUCUGGUGAUCUCUAAAGGAUUUGAUAACAAGAUUACUUGAUUGACUAUACGAGACUUUUCCCAGAUUUAGUCCUAUUGUUAAGUCCAUAGAGGUUUCCAUAAAGACUGUGUAGUCUCAAAACUAAUAUCAAGGAAAAGAGUGAAAGCAAAUUGCAUGCAAGGCUAAACCCAAAUGAUACCAGUGCUUCAGUGCCGUCGGAACGAAAUUCAUAUUGAGGGGGGCUGCCCAUCGUUUUCCUUCUCAUUCACUACACUGUUAUAAAGGAAACAUACUACAGUUUGACAAUUAUUGGGAGUCUCCAGACGUCCCCCCCUCCCCCAGCACCCCCCCCCGGUUCCGACGGCCUGCUCUUCGAUACUCUUUAAGUAUAAGCAGUCGAUGGAUGUUAACUAAUACAACAAAUUGACCAGGUUUCUGAUGAUCCCAAAUUUCAAACUGACAAGUCAAGUUUUCUAAUUUACAGACAGUUGAAUAUCGGGAGUAGCAUUUCUUAUUUACAAUGGUGACAUGCAUAGUAUUUUGCGGAAAAGCGAAUCCCCACGGCUCCUACACAUCUUUGAUUUACAAUUUCCCGCAAUGUUUUCCAUAAAUUCAUAAUUUGGUCCCUUUUUGCUACACUGCACUACUUUUACAAGCAAACCUAGGACGCUGUGGCAAAGAGGUAAAAGGUUGGCAAGUCCAGGACCAAUGCUAGCUACUGUGCUCAAAGAGGGGGAGAGGUGUUCUGAUCCUAUUUGGCGACAAAGUGGGUGAGCCAUCUUUUAUUUGCCGACAAGUCUGAAAAUUUGCCGACGAAGCACCCCCUACAUGGCAAAAAAACUUCUCGUUUUUACAAUGGAGCUUUUUUCAAGGAGGGUGUCGCACUGCAUUCGACACAAAGCAUCUUGAUGGUGGCUAUAUCCGAAACUUUGUUUUAACUCCAAACCAUUCUACCUUUCAUUCAGACCUAUCUAUAGAAAAUCGUGUUCAUUGAAGCAAAUGCUGCAAAGACAAUGCAUGGCCUAAUUUCCAUUUUCGAAAUUGAUGGAAUAUUCCCUGGACUUCGGAUGGACUUCAGAUGCUUAUAUUUGACCCUCCCAGUCAGUGGCGUACCAUGGGCCGCAGCAGCGGGGGGUCUGGGGCUUAGCCCCCAGAAAUUUUUUUAGAACCACGCCCUUCAAACACUCGCAAAUGCGGGGAAACGCCUUUUUUGCAAAAUUUCCCCCCAUUAUUUGAUUCAUGUUAGCUACGGUAAAUAGCAAAGUAUUUUACAAUUGUUAAUGACACAAGCAUACAGUAUACUAC